UUAAGGGGAAAAUGAAAAAAAACUGCUUGUUUGUCAACAACGGAGAAUGGCCGUCGAUCAGCAGCAAUGAAAACACCAAUAAACUUGGUUAUGGCAUUUGCAUUUCUGAAUUCCCAGACAGGGAAUUCAGAAAUGCUGUUUUUUUUUUCACACAGCAACAAUCAUAGUAACACCUGGAUGGUGCCUUUUCAAAUGUGUGUGCUAGGGAUGUGCAUUUCUGGCAAAAAUACUAUUCGAUAUUCGCUGAGAAGUAUUCGAAUGAUAUUCGAAAAUCGCUCAAUCAAGAACCCCCCACGCACGCACGCACACACCUCGGAUACCCGCACACACAAUGACACAGGGAGAGGCUUUUAUGAUUUGUAUGAAAUCAAUCUGUUUAUUUCAACAACUGCGUCAUCAACAUUCAACAUCAAAGUUAUUUCAACGUGGGCUUAGGCAGAUAGACCUACAUGCGCAGAAAACGGAUCGCUAUUUAUUUAGUUUACUGAACACAGCCUGCAUGGCGGUGAACUAGACACGUCAAAAAUAUUACUUCACACGGUGUCUUUUUAGAAUUGAUUACCAGCAUUCGUAGUGUUGAUCAGCAGAGAAAUAGUCUGCCAAAGACGUUGACGUCGCUUAGCAACCGAGGACGCUAUUCACCACCGGAAGUUGUGAAGGCCCAUGCAAGUCAACGGAGCGUUCAAAAGCUUUGAGAAGAGCCCUGUAAUAAAUAACGAUAGUCACAUUCAUUAUUCGAUAUUCUACGUGACUCAGACUAUUCGACGAUCGUUGCCCGCUAUGUACGCCACAUUUACGUACUGUGGUACACCUCUGUAACCGCUCCGAAGUGCCUGUACCGUGACGGUUCGGUACAAAUACGUUUACUAGGGGUGUACCGUUAAACCCCUAGUAAAAACGUAGUUCAAACAGUUUGCGACCGGGGUGUGAUGAGUCCUGCAGAAUGGAUUUGGCCUUUUUAAGGCAGCUCGUUGUGGAUUAUAGGAGGAAGAGCCGCUGCUGAUAGGCGGGUUCUGUGUGAAGAGGGUCUCUGACUUCCGCUUCUUGGGAGUUAACAUCAUGGAGGACCUGACCUGGGGCGUCAACACCACUGGGCUAGUGAAGAAGGCCCAGCAGAGACUAUACUUCCUGAGAGUUCUCAGGAGGAUCAACAUCCCCCAAAAACUGCUGGUGUUCUUCUACCGCUGCUCAAUAGAGAGCAUAAUGACCUACUGUCUGUGUGUCUGGUUCUCAAGCUGCACUGUGGCACAGAGGAAAAGGCUCCAGGGGGUCAUAAAGGCAGCGCAGAAAAUCACCGGCUGCCCUCUUCCAUCUCUGGACGAACUGCACUGC